UUAAAAUAUCACUUAAAAUUUGCACCUUUAGAACAUUUGGAAUGAUUUCGUAGUUUUGUCAGAAUGAGAUCGUCAUUGCGCAAUAAAUGUAUUACCAAUUCAAAGGUGGUGGCAUCUGCAGAGAAUCCUUUAUCAACCAUUUCAUCAAUAAGCUGUGUUGCCUUUGCUACAUCCUUAUGCCAGAGAAACCCUUGAAUAAUCACAUAUAACAGCAACCAUUUG
rnacentral:misc_RNA from 1 species